UACGUAGGGGGCGAGCGUUGUCCGGAAUUAUUGGGCGUAAAGAGCGUGUAGGCGGUUCGGUAAGUCUGCCGUGAAAACCUGAGGCUCAACCUCGGGCGUGCGGUGGAUACUGCCGGGCUAGAGGACGGUAGAGGCGAGUGGAAUUCCUGGUGUAGCGGUGAAAUGCGCAGAUAUCAGGAGGAACACCGGUGGCGAAGGCGGGUCUCUGGGCCGAUACUGACGCUGAGGAGCGAAAGCGUGGGGAGCGAACAGG
rnacentral:rRNA from 1 species